rnacentral:lncRNA from 1 species
GCCCCAUUUUUUUACUCCCAAUUUUUUUUUUUAAAUUUAUGAAUUUAAUUUUUCCCUCCUCAUCUUAUUUUGAUCCCAUUGUUUCAAUGAAUAAAAAGUAAAAAAAAAAAUUAUGAUCUUUCGUGCACCUCUCCACGGCCCUUUUUCAUUGUAUAAUAAAUAAUCUGUUUCCAUGGCCAGCACCUCAUUCCAUUAUAAGAGUUACCGUAUGAACCAAAUUCUCA